rnacentral:rRNA from 1 species
UACGGAGGAUGCGAGCGUUAUCCGGAUUUAUUGGGUUUAAAGGGUGCGCAGGCGGAAUGUCAAGUCUGAAGUGAAAAUCCAGCGCUUAACGUUGGAAGUGCUUUGGAAACUGCCGGGCUAGAGUGCAGGAGGGGCAGGCGGAAUUCCUAGUGUAGCGGUGAAAUGCGUAGAUAUUAGGAGGAACACCAGUGGCGAAGGCGGCUUACUGGACUGUAACUGACGUUGAGGCUCGAAAGCGUGGGGAGCAAACAGG